rnacentral:lncRNA from 1 species
AUAAAACUACUUAUUUCUCAAUAAUAAGGACAGUUUUACCCUCAUAAGGAUAGGAAAUACUCAUAAAGACCUUGGGUCGGUAUAACUCUUAAUUGCUGGCUCACAACCUAAAACAUUUUUUUUCACACCUCACACCUUUCAAAAUAUCUUCAGAAAAUCACCACUUGGUAUACAUUCAUACUAGAAUCAUUACCGAGUUAUAUUUUUCUAAACAAUUUUCAAAACUAAACGAGAU